GUGAGUAGUUCAGAGUUUGAUCCUGGCUCAGGACGAACGCUGGCGGCGUGCCUAACACAUGCAAGUCGAGCGAAGAAUUGGGAGCUUGCUUCUGAUUCUUAGCGGCGGACGGGUGAGUAACGCGUGAGCAACCUGCCUCGAACUGGGGGAUAACGCAUCGAAAGAUGUGCUAAUACCGCGUAAGACCACAGUACCACAUGGUACAGGGGUCAAAGGAGCAAUCCGGUUUGAGAUGGGCUCGCGUCCGAUUAGCUAGUUGGCGGGAUAACAGCCCACCAAGGCGACGAUCGGUAGCCGACCUGAGAGGGUGAUCGGCCACAUUGGAACUGAGACACGGUCCAG
rnacentral:rRNA from 1 species